UUCUCUCAAUUUGAUUUGUUUGCUAUCCUAUUUUCUUCUUUCAUCCAUAGGUAGAGACCCUCUCUAUUUAUAAAUGAUUCUCAUGACCCAAUGAGAGGACUCUUUAUUCAAAUCUGAUUUGAAUUGCUCCAAUACUAAUGAAAGAAGGACUCCUACAUGAGAUAUAAUUGCCAUCACUUAUGACAUCCACUUUGCAUCCACUCCCACACUCACUUGGGAUGCCCUAAAUAAGCACCAAACCAAUUUUUGAUCAUGCUUCAUAAGUGGGUAUUUCCAGUGCAAGUAGGAAUACUUAUAUCUCAUCCAAAACAGAUCCGAUUCGAGUCCAUUUCGAAGUCGAUUCGAAAUAAUUUCUUAAAACUGUCAAGCCUAAACUCUUUAGGAUUUUUGUACUAAGUCUAACUUGGAUUUUGGACCUAUUUAAGUCUAAUUAAUUUAGAUCUAAUCUGAAAUUAAUUAGUACUUAAAUCCAAUCUUUCAUAUAUUCCAUGGAUCAUAGAUAGAAAUUGUUCAUCCCCGAGAUUUAAUCUGAACCUCAUGUGUAGUGCUAGCUAGACAUAAUCAACUCUUCAAUCUCAUUUGACCCAUAAUUCAAUUCUCAAUCAAGUUAGUUUAUAUGUUCAAUCAAGUCAAGUACUUCCAGAUUGGACAUAUAAACAUAGGUCAAUUCCUUCCUACUUUGUCUGACUUAUGUGCGUAACUCCAUAAGUCAAACAUUAAGCCGGUAGCACAGGAACCAAUUCCUGUACAAAUCGAGAUACCAUCUAGCAAUGGUUCCUGACGUCCAGAUAGGUCGAAUUAUCGCAAAGGAAUAUUUCAGAACCCAUACUCAUGGUUACCGCAUAAUUCAUCCUUUUGAUUCUGGAUGCUCUAAGAUGGUCUCAGAUUAACUGUCAACCGAGAUUGCUUCAUCCACAUUGUAUUUCAACCUUUCAAAUUCAUCUCAUGGAUUAUCCUAGCCAAGGCUUUACUAAAUUGAAAUACAGCGAUACAUCAACCCCAAUAAUUUGACGGGGUCAAUCCCAUCUUGAUCCACACACAGACUUCGCAAGUACUUGAUUGUACCC
rnacentral:lncRNA from 1 species